GAACCGACGGGCUUCGGGACCAAUCACCGCGCAGCUUCCGACAGACGCUGAACCAAUGGUUGCAAGCCGCCCCUGGACCAACGCCUCUCAAGUUACCUCUGGAUUUACUCAGCAAAUGACUCAAACACCAGUAAACGAACGAAGAGGGGAAAAAAAGAAGAGAAAAAGAGGAUUCACUGUCCAGUGACUUUCAAGAGUUGAUUUCCUUGAGAAGCUUCUCUACCCAUCUAGACUCAAGGGUGACUACUUCCGGGAACCUCAAAUCUGGAUGUAAAGUUGACAACAGAAAGAUGAACAACCCAAUAAACAAAUUAGGCAAGAGAUUUGAACAGGCGUUUCACAAAGAUACCAAUGGGCAACAAGCAAUUGGAAAACCACUCACCAGGACUUCCUGUUGUGGCUCAGCCGGUUAAGAACCCGACGCGUAUCCAUGAGGGUGGGAGUUCAGUCUCCAGCCUCGCUCAGGGAAUUAAGGAUCCGGCGUGGCUGUGGCUGUGGUGUAGGCAGGCAGCUACAGCUCUGAUUCGACCACUACCCUGGGAACUUCUAUAGGCCUCAGGUGUGGCUCUGAAAAGACCAAAAAAACCAGAAACUGCAAAUUAGUAUCCUGAUGAGGCAGAGUUCCCCCUGGGGCACCAUGGGUUAAGGAGCCAGUGUUGCCACUGCAGUGGCACAGGUUUGCUCCCUGGCCCAGGAACUCCCACCUGCCUCAGAUGCAGCCAAAACACAAAAAUUAAAAAAGACCGACACCUCCACAUGUUAGCAGAGCUGUGGGGCAACCAGCCGACACUGCCCAUUAGCCGUGGAAGUUAAACAUCGCUCAGCCUGUGACCCAGCAGUUCCACUUCUAGAUGUUUAUCCGAGAGAAAUGAAAACACGCUUGCAAAAAAAUAUUUGUAUAAAAAUGUUCAUUGCCGCCCAGACUGGAAGUAGCCUAGCGGUCCAUCAAGAGGGCACCACCCGAUGUGGUGUGACCACACGGUGGACGGCUAUUCGGUGACAGAAGGAAAAAACUGCCCCCAAACAUCCAGGCCUUUGCUGUGUUCAUCCUGCUCUAUUCAUCCAACUCUCUGAGAACACAACUAGGUCACCCGGUGCUUGGAGCGGAACAGGGUACCGUGGUAAGCUGGAAACCGUAGCAGGAACCCGAAGGGCACCGAUCUUAGGCGAACAGUAAGAGAGAAAAAUCCAUGAGCUGGAGGCAGCUAUUCUCCUA